UACGAAGGGGGCUAGCGUUGUUCGGAAUUACUGGGCGUAAAGCGCACGUAGGCGGACUACUAAGUCAGGGGUGAAAUCCCGGGGCUCAACCCCGGAACUGCCUUUGAUACUGAUAGUCUCGAGUCCGGAAGAGGUGAGUGGAAUUCCUAGUGUAGAGGUGAAAUUCGUAGAUAUUAGGAAGAACACCAGUGGCGAAGGCGGCUCACUGGCCCGGUACUGACGCUGAGGCGCGAAAGCGUGGGGAGCAAACAGG
rnacentral:rRNA from 1 species